UCAAAAUGGCGGCUGGAGUUCGUGGCGAAGUGAAAAAUCUAACCCGGCUUUCUGAGGCUUCACAGUUCUUCAGCCAUGAAGAAACAGGAGAGGCAGAAACGACAGAUGUUCCUGUUGAAGUUACAACCGAGGAUUCAACAACAGAUAAGGUUAUUGAUCUCUUGAAUCAAGCACAACUUGAGAAAGAAGGGAAACUGAAUUGUUUGAAACAAGUCCAGGAAUUUAUUGUGCAAAAAGACCCAUCUCUUCUAGACAACUUUUUAGAUGAAAUUUUGGUAUUUCAACAAGACAAGUCUGCUGAUGUCAGAAAGUUUGUAGUUGGUUUCGUUGAAGAAGCUUGCAAAAAGGAUGUUGAACUUCUUGGGAAAGUUUUGGGAAACCUUGUGUUUAUGUUGAAUGAUGAAAAUGUUGCAGUUCAAAAGAGAGUCAUGUUAUGUUUUACACAAUUGUACAAGUAUGCUUUGCAGUAUAUAUGCAAGAAAAGAGUAAUAUCAGAAGAGCUUGAAAACAUGUGGGAGGUCCUUACAGAGAUUAAGAAUCAGAUCAUUUCAAUGUUGGACUCUGAUAAUGAUGGAAUUCGAACACAUGCCAUAAAGUUUAUGGAGAUGCUUGUUCUUGUUCAGUCUAACAAAACACAAGAUUCUGAGUCUACAAAGAAAGGUGAAACAGACAUUUCUCUUGAUGUCAUUCCACGAAACCAUCCUCUUGUCAGAAUGGCAGAGCUAAGAGAAGAAGGUGGUACAACACUAGAAGCUUUGCUGACUUUGAUAGCAUCACCAACAAUAUCAAGUGUAAACUUAAUGGCAUGUUUGGGUACUCUAUCAAAUAUUGCUCGACAGCGUCCAAUUUUUAUGUCAACUGUUGUACAAACUUUUGAAUCAUUACAUGCAAAUCUCCCUACUUCAUUGUCAAAAUCACAAGUUAGUAGUGUCAGGAAAAACCUUAAGCUACAUCUAAUGAAUCUUUUAAGACAUCCAUGUUCAAUUGAAUUUCUUCCUCAAAUUACCACCUUGCUAACUGACCUUGGAGCUUCACAGACAGAGCUCCAAAAAAACAUGCCUAAAACUACUUCAGAGUCAAUGAAAAGGAGGGCAGAAAAUGAAGCUUCAUCAGGGAACAAGAAAUCCAAGUUGACUGAUGCUGAUGAUCCAGACGUGAUAUCAAUGUCUACGGCAGAGGCGAUUGACGUGACUGCACAAGACCUCAUUCCUUUACUUGACAAAGAUAAUGUCACCAAUCUUGUUCUGAUAAGCAUGCUGUCACUUCCUGAUCAUAUCCCAACAAACUUUAGCGAUACAUACACUCCUAUUGCUGCUGCUGGUGGCCAAGCUCAGGUAGCUCACUUAGCAAGACUGCUUGCAUCUCAAAUGACUGCUGCUGGUGUUGGUGUUGGCUUUGAAAGAAUGGAUGCACUCAAGAAGGCACAAGACCCCCGUGUACGGUUAAAAGGUCAAAAUGAAUCCAACCAGUCUAUUCCUGUGAUUGGUUCAAGUUGGUCUGCUGAUGCCGAUGCAGAGUUUUCAGGGGAGAAAAAAGAUUCAGCAUUACAAAGAAUCCUGAGUGGACAAAUUGAUGUUUCAAAAGACAAAGUAAAACCAGAAGGCAAAAAAACUUUUCAACAUAAAGAAGCUCCAAUCCCUCCUUUGCGAAUGCGUAGGAUUAAAGCCUUUAAAUUAGCCGAGGUCACAAAAGACAUGAAUCACACAGAACAACAGAACAUGCUUAUGAGCACCAUUGAUAGGAUUAUCAAAGCUGAAAACAGUGCAACUAGGAGUGGAGUUACUCAGGAAAGAAUUAAACUUCUUGUUGGAUUGGCCAUUCAGUGUGAAGACCCUGCUAGACAAGAACUUCACAAUUAUAUCCAAGAAGACCCCAGAGCCCACUAUGACUUGAUACACACAUGGCUGUAUCAGGAGUAUUUGAUGCAGGAGGUUAAGAUGGAGGAAGGUUUUCCAGUAGAUAUGAUGUCAUAUGACCACUGCUUGUGUACAAUAUUAGAAGGAUUGCAACACCGCAUGGAUCCAAAGGACAAGUUGUUUACACGUGUUGUCCUUGAGGCUCCCCUUGUCACUGAAAGAGUUAUGGAAAUGGUAAAGCUACAUUGUGAAAAUAUAGAAACCCUCCAUGUUGGUUUUGCAACAUUAAGAGAUUUAAUCCUCAAGCGACCAGCUUCCCAACAUGAACACUUACAAACAUUACUUGAGCUGACUACUAACGAGAAGGAACAGGUCCGUGUGCAGGCCAUCCACUCUGCUAAAAAGCUACAUACUCGACCUGAUCUUGCUCUGGAUAUUGAGACAUUUGCAUUGUCCUCAUUGGAAUUACUAAUACAAGAAAAGCAACCUUCAGAGCCAGAUGAAGAACCAAAGGAGUGGACAGAUGAAAGCAUAAAAACUUGUUUAUAUUUAUAUCUAGCAUUAUUACCUCAAAAUCACAAACUAUUUCAUCAGUUGGCAAUUAUCUAUACUGCGUCAUCUCAAAUGAUUAAAAGAAUCAUACUUCGCCAUCUUGAAACACCAGUCCGUGCUAUUGGAAUGGCUUCUCCUGAGUUACUGCAGUUGGUAGAGAGCUGUCCUACUGGAUCUGAAACACUUAUCGCCAGAAUAUUAAACAUUAUCACAGAUAAAGCUGCUCCAUCACCUGAUCUCGUCAAACGAGUUAAAGAUCUUUAUCAUAAGCGCGUUGCCGAUGUACGAUUCCUGAUCCCUGUACUGACAGGACUUGAAAAACAGGAAAUCAUUGCUGUAUUGCCUAAACUCAUAAAACAAUCACCAAGCGUCGUGAAAGAAGUGUUUAAUAGACUGUUGGGAUGUUUUCAUAGUGAGGGAAAAGUGUCAGGCACCAGUCCUCUUAGUCCAUCAGAACUGUUAGUUGCUCUCCAUAUGAUUGAACCUUCAAAGAAAGCCAACACUCUUGAGUCUAAAGGAGACAUACGUUCUGUUAUGAAGGCCAUCAGGUUCUGUUUUGACGAGAAAACUAUUUAUACACAAGAAGUACUGGCUAUCGUCCUUCAGCAGCUGAUGGAAAUCAAUCCUCUCCCAACAUUGUUCAUGAGAACGGUAAUCCAGUCGCUUAGUAUUUGCCCAAGACUUAUCGGAUUCGUCAUGAGUUUGUUAUCAAAGCUCAUCACAAAGCAGGUGUGGAAGCAGCCUAAAGUCUGGCAAGGUUUCGUCAAAUGCUGUCAGAUGACCAAACCGCAGUCUUUCUCAGUUUUACUUCAGCUUCCACCGCGACAACUUGAAAGUGCUUUCGAGAUAUGCCCUGAACUUCGUGAUAAUGUUGUCAAUCACGUCCAGUCUUUCACUCCACAUCAGCGUGCGCAUAUUCCACGUUCAGUCCUUCAAAUUCUGGACAAAGAAAAGAAAACUGAAACAGAUCAAGCUGAUAAGGAGCAAGUUGACCCAAAACAAGAGACUGAAUCAAAAACCGAAGAAAUCCCGUCUUCACCAAAGAGAUCCCGAUCGAGCUCGAAGGAAAGGCGCAAGGAUCGUAAAAGAUCUCGCAGAUCUCGAUCCGGGUCUCCACAUUCCAAAAGAGAGCACACAGAAGAAGGGAGUGAAAGUGAAGGAGAGAUUGAAGACACUGAAUCAGAUACCCUGCACGUAAAAUAGACCUUCAUGGGUUCUUAUCAGUAUUUUAAGGUGAAAAAAGUUCAAGUUCCUCGUGUAAAUAGUUUUUGGUGUUUUUGCUUGUCCUCACAAGUUUUUUUAUGCAAAAUAGAAUCGAUGGAAACUUGCGCUCAUAUUUUCCCAUCUCAUUUCAUUUCACAUUUUACUUUUCAGUAAGUUUGACAGUUUGCAGUGUUUAAAAAUAGACGCAUCAGAUAUGUUAGUAUAUAUGGAUGAAAGGUUGGAUUGGGGGUCAUUAUUUACCGUCAGCCUUUCAGACAGUAAACGUCAUCAUUG